rnacentral:rRNA from 1 species
AAGGGCACCACAAGAACGCGUGGAGCAUGUGGCUUAAUUUGACUCAACGCGGGAAAUCUUACCGGGUCCGGACACACUGAGGAUUGACAGACAAUCAUGUACUUACACACUAUGUGGNNAAUCAUCANAUAANGAUGCUAGUUCUUUCAUGAUUAUGUGAUAGGUGGUGCAUGGCCGUUCUUAGUUCGUGGAGUGAUCUGUCUGCUUAAUUGCGUUUCACAAUUAAGAUACGAAUAUACGCUAUACUAUAUACUUGACCCCAUACUCCGGUAUGCGCAGUGUCUCGGUAUAUAUAGCAUUCGUUAUUUCGAAAGCAACGAACGUGACCGUAUCCUUUUGUUAAAUACACCGUAUUAAAAACUAAAGGGACCGCUGUUUCUUUCUUAAACCAGAGGAAGGUUACGGCAAUAACAGGUCUGUGAUGCCCUUAGAUGUUCCGGGCUGCACACGUGCUACAAUGAUUAUUUCAGUACGUAUCUCAAACUUUAAACACUGUAUAGUUUUAUACUAUACAGUUCAAAUCCUACCUCGAAAGUCAGGUGGGUAAUCAAUUAGAAGUAAUGAUUUCCUCUUUGUACAAAUAUAUACAGCGUAUCUAUAUCCCAUGUUUAGACUCCGGUCUGCAUGCGUGUGUAUAGUACGUAUAAUUCCUAUAGGUCUUAUAAUACUGUAUGUACAAUUGUUAAUUCAUGGUGGGGACAGACCAUUGUUAAUUGUUGGUCUCGGUCUUAACUAGGAAUGCCUUGUACGGGUCUUUGGUUCAUCAAACCACCCGGAAUACGUCCCUGCCCUUUGUACACACCGCCCGUCGCUCUUACCGAUGAACUUUACUAUGAAUUUGAGGGAAAGACUCAUUGCGAGUCGCUAACUUAAAUGAAUAGUGUGGUUUAAAGGAAAGAGAAGUCGAACAAGGCA